rnacentral:rRNA from 2 species
GGAGGGGUUCCACACGUACCCAUCCCGAACACGACCGUUAAGCCCUCCAGCGCCGAUGGUACUUGGACCGCAGGGUCCUGGGAGAGUAGGACGCCGCCAAGC